rnacentral:rRNA from 1 species
AUUGAACGCUGGCGGCAGGCCUAACACAUGCAAGUCGAACGGCAGCACAGAGGAGCUUGCUCCUUGGGUGGCGAGUGGCGGACGGGUGAGGAAUGCAUCGGAAUCUGCCUAUUUGUGGGGGAUAACGUAGGGAAACUUACGCUAAUACCGCAUACGUCCUACGGGAGAAAGUGGGGGACCGCAAGGCCUCACGCAGAUAGAUGAGCCGAUGCCGGAUUAGCUAGUUGGCGGGGUAAAGGCCCACCAAGGCGACGAUCCGUAGCUGGUCUGAGAGGAUGAUCAGCCACACUGGAACUGAGACACGGUCCAGACUCCUACGGGAGGCAGCAGUGGGGAAUAUUGGACAAUGGGCGCAAGCCUGAUCCAGCCAUGCCGCGUGUGUGAAGAAGGCCUUCGGGUUGUAAAGCACUUUUGUCCGGAAAGAAAAGCAUUCGAUUAAUACUCGGGUGUUAUGACGGUACCGGAAGAAUAAGCACCGGCUAACUUCGUGCCAGCCGCCGCGGUAAGAC